CUGAAGAAUCUGUAAAGCUCAGGAGGGAUAGCGCCAUGAUUUUUCACAUCAUCGUGUUGUUCUUUGGCGCUAUCUAUCCUGAGUUUCACGGCUUCUUCUU
rnacentral:pre_miRNA from 1 species